rnacentral:rRNA from 1 species
UAAGGAAUAUUGGUCAAUGGACGGAAGUCUGAACCAGCCAUGCCGCGUGAAGGAUGAAGGCGUUCUGCGUUGUAAACUUCUUUUAUCUGGGAAGAAACCAUCUUUUUCUAAGGGUGUUGACGGUACCAGAGGAAUAAGCACCGGCUAACUCCGUGCCAGCAGCCGCGGUAAUACGGAGGGUGCAAGCGUUAUCCGGAUUCACUGGGUUUAAAGGGUGUAUAGGCGGGUAUUUAAGUCAGUGGUGAAAUCUCCAGGCUCAACCUGGAAACUGCCAUUGAUACUAUUUAUCUUGAAUAUUGUUGAGGUAGGCGGAAUAUAUCAUGUAGCGGUGAAAUGCUUAGAUAUGAUAUAGAACACCGAUUGCGAAGGCAGCUUACUAAACAAUCAUUGACGCUGAGGCACGAAAGCGUGGGGAUCAAACA